rnacentral:snRNA from 1 species
AUCACUUCUCGGCCUUUUGGCUAAGAUCAAGUGUAGUGUAGAAUAUUCUCAUAAAUAAGUAAGUAAAUAAAAUGAAGGGUUGUUUUUUUUUAAUAGAAGAGGACUACCUAGGCAUUCAAAAUUCAGCCUUGACAUCUCUAACGUAG